rnacentral:rRNA from 1 species
AGCGAACGCUGGCGGCAGGCCUAACACAUGCAAGUCGAACGAAGUCUUCGGACUUAGUGGCGGACGGGUGAGUAACACGUGGGAACGUGCCUUUAGGUUCGGAAUACCCAGGGAAACUUGUGCUAAUACCGAAUUGUGCCUUCGGGGGAAAGAUUUAUCGCCUUUAGAGCGGCCCGCGUCUGAUUAGCUAGUUGGUGAGGUAAAGGCUCACCAAGGCGACGAUCAGUAGCUGGUCUGAGAGGAUGAUCAGCCACAUUGGGACUGAGACACGGCCCAAACUCCUACGGGAGGCAGCAGUGGGGAAUCUUGCGCAAUGGGCGAAAGCCUGACGCAGCCAUGCCGCGUGAAUGAUGAAGGUCUUAGGAUUGUAAAAUUCUUUCACCGGGGACGAUAAUGACGGUACCCGGAGAAGAAGCCCCGGCUAACUUCGUGCCAGCAGCCGCAGCAAGAC